GCAGCAAGCAAAGUUUUGAAGCUGCGUCGAAUUUGGUGAAAUUAAGAAGUAGAAAGUUUGUUUACAUUUCACCUCUGGACAAAGAAUGAUUGAUUACAUCUACACAAUAAUAAUAAAGAAAAAAGCUUGUGCCAGCUGUCUUCUCUGAGCAGCGGUCUUGUGAUCACCGGCCUCAGUAUAAUAAAGAGUACACUUCACAUCCUAGAACCCAUAAAAAUGUAUAUUUGACAGAACUACACACCCAUCUGAGGCCUACCUGUUUUAAUUCAUGAUCGCCCCCGAUUCUUCUACAACUAACCCGCUUGGUGUCUGAUGUUGAUGCAGUCAGGGCACUAGUAUCUGUUGGCUUGCUGACUAUCACUGACGAUGAAGUACUUCUCCAAAUCUUGACCCUGUGUCUUCUGCCAUCAUUGUUCAGGGUAGUACUGCAAAGAACAGUCUCCAGGGUCUACCUCCAACAUUUGCUUCCCGACCACCAUGUGCUACGUUUGCAUCACUGCUACAUGUGGGUUACCCUGAUACUGUGAAGAACACCUACAAUAUGAUGCUUGACUUGGGACAGAAAAA